UGGGUAAGUGAAUCCAAUCUCCCCCCAGUACUUACCCAGGUACAGAGCUCUGAUUCUCUGUACUUCCUGCUCCUGGGCAGAAGACUUGGUCUCGACCAAUCAUUUGUGAGUUUUCCCAUUGCAUCGAUCACUGUGAGCUAGAGGGAGGAGUUAGUUGAAGUGCCUGACCAUGGGAAAUAGAGCAGCCCGGGAGCAGGAAGUACAGAGAAUUAGAGCUCUGGAUUCACUUACCCAGGGACCUGCAUGGUAUUUGGCCCUUGAAGCUCUUGAACCAUAUAAGCCCAUGUGUGGAUAUAGCCUUCCUCUGAUUGGCCGGCUGCAAUUCAGCUUGAAAGCACCCAAUCACCAGUGUUUCAGAAUUAAAUUAUAUCCCCCCCCCCCCGACUCAGGAAAAACAAUGCACUUUAUAUCGGGGGGUGGUUCUAUUGGAUCUCAUGCUCCAAUUGUACAAUUAAAGUAUUGCCCCAACCCCCCUGAUCCUAAAAACCCCCCAUUUUAUCUAUGCAGGAUCUACUUGGCCCAUUAGAGGAGGCUCAGUAUAAUGUUACCCCCACUGCUAUAACCUCCUAUACCAUCGGCAGGCCCUGUGGCUGCAGGUAGCCAAGUCAGGCACAAUUGCCCCUCUCCCCCCCUACCCUGGGGUAUAAAACUAUAGACAGAGAUCUGAACAUGAUGUAUAAUACAUGCCCUGAUUUUAAAGGCAAAGUAACAAGCACUUUAUUUAAUGCACUCACAAGUCCACGGGUCUUUGUGUUAUAGACCCGAAUGGGUACUGGGCCCUUUAAGGCCGGGGCAUGUUCUGGAGGCCGAGGGGUUAACGGACAUUGGGCUGAUCGAUAGCUUUAGUCAUAGACACUGAAUGGUCUGAGAGCGUAGAGUGUCUCUUAUCAAACAGGUUUAACCUUUCCUUGGCUGCAUGCAGAUUGACCCAUCAAACAAGUUUAACCUUUCCUUGGCUGCAUGCAGAUUGCCCCAUCAAACAGGUAUUAUAAAGCUGCAUGAAGUCAAGAAAAGGUUAAACCUGUUUGAUAAGGUGAAAAAUGCGGAGGGUAAGCUGUGUGAGCAAACGAAUUAGCUGCAUGUGGCCAAUGAAAGGUUAAACCUGUUUUAUAGAGAGAGCUGCAUGAAGCCGAGAAAACAGGCUUAACCUUUUCCUGGCUGCAUGCAGGUUGCCCUGUCGAACAGGUUUUGCCUUUUAUCGGCUUCAUGUAGCUCAUCCCCACAAUCUCAACCAUAUCAAACAGGUUAAACCUUUAACUGACUUCAUGCAGCUCAUCCCCUAAAAUCUCAGCCUUAUCAAACAGGUUUAACCUUUUCUUCGCUGCAUGCAACUCUUCUUGGCUGCAUAAAGCAUACCCCCACAGUCUUUACCAUAUCAAACAGGUUUAACCUUUCCUUUGCUGCAUACAGCAGACCCCCCACAAUCUUCACCUUAUCAAACAGGUUUAACCUUUCCUUUGCUGCAUACAGCAGACCCCCCACAAUCUUCACCUUUAUCAAACAGGUUUAACCUUUUAUUGACUUCAUGCAUCCCAUCCCCCAAAAUCUCAGCCUUAUCGAACAGGUUUAACCUUUCCUUUGCUGCAUACAGCAUACCCCCCCACAAUCUUCACCUUAUCAAACAGGUUUAACCUUUUAUUGACUUCAUGCAUCCCAUCCCCCAAAAUCUCAGCCUUAUCGAACAGGUUUAACCUUUCCUUUGCUGCAUGCGGCAUACCCCCCACAAUCUUCACCUUAUCAAACAGGUUUAACCUUUCCUUCGCUGCAUGCAACUUGCCCUAUCAAACAUGUUUAACCUCUACUUGGCUGCAUACAGCUUAUCCUUCGCAAUCGUCACCAUAUCAAACAGCAUAUCAAACCUUUUACUGAUUUCAUGCAGCUUAUCCCCCAAACCUUAUCAAACAGGGUUAACCUCUGCUUGGCUGCAUGCAACUUGCCCAUUACUGUCUUCACCAUAUCAAACAGGGUUUAACCUUUUCUUUGCUGCAUACCCCCCACAAUUUUCUCCUUAUCAAACAGGUUUAACCUUUUACUGACUCCAUACAGCUCAGCCCCAAAAUCUCAGCCUUAUCAAACAGGUUUAACCUUUGCUUGGCUGCAUACAGCAGACCCCCCACAAUCCUCUCCUUAUCAAACAGGUUUAACCUUUUAUUGGCUUCAUCCUGCUCUCUCUAUAAAUGAGGUUUAACCCUUUCCUUGGGCGGAUGCAGCUCACCCCCAGAUCAGAUUUAUCCUGAUUCCAGAAGCUCUGAACCAAAAUCAAGUGGCACUUUACCUUUCCUUUAUUGAACCCUCGGACACCCAAGAUGGCCGCCAGUUCCUUAGAGACCCCCCCCCCCACUUUACAAAGUAACCCCUUUUUAGAUUUCAUCUUGAACUCUUUAUUGUGUUUGUAUUUCCUACUUUUAAUUUGGAAUAUCGUUGGUAUGGAAGCUGAUUGGUGGGUUGGGUAGGGGGGCGUGGCUGUGUCUGUUACCCCGAGUGUGUAUGAAUUCAUAUUUUUGUUUUUCUGGGUGGGUUUUUUUUUCCUGUUAUUUCCGAUGAUUUCCCAUCAUGUGACUGACGAGACUGCGCUACGGUUUCUGUGUGUUCUCUUUUAUUCUCCUUAAUGAUAAUAAUAAUUAUAACAAUGUUGCUGCUUCAGUUGUAAAUAAAAGCUUUUAUUCCUCGUA